rnacentral:rRNA from 1 species
GACGAACGCUGGCGGCGUGCUUAACACAUGCAAGUCGAACGGUGAAGCGCCUUCCUUUUUGGUGGGUGUGGAUGAGUGGCGAACGGGUGAGUAACACGUGAGUAACCUGCCCCCUUCUUCUGGAUAACCGCAUGAAAGUGUGGCUAAUACGGGAUAUUCUGGGUCUGUCGCAUGAUGGGUCUGGGAAAGAUAUUGUUUCGGUGGGGGAUGGGCUCGCGGCCUAUCAGCUUGUUGGUGGGGUGAUGGCCUACCAAGGCGGUGACGGGUAGCCGGCCUGAGAGGGUGGACGGUCACACUGGGAGUGAGACACGGCCCAGACUCCUACGGGAGGCAGCAGUGGGGAAUAUUGCACAAUGGGCGCAAGCCUGAUGCAGCGGCGCCGCGUGAGGGAUGGAGGCCUUCGGGUUGUGAACCUCUUUCGCCAGUGAAGCAGGCCUGCCUCGUUUGUGGGUGGGUUGACGGUAGCUGGAUAAGAAGCGCCGGCUAACUACGUG